AAACUGGCAUCUGGACUCCCAAGCAGGCUCUCUAUUCCUGUAUUUCAGUGGAACCAAGAAAGAGAAAGACAAGAUCUGGUGGUGACUCAUGUACUAACAAUGAGUCUGUCACCAUUGCAUGUCAUUCACCACUCCUGACAGAAGGAAGGUGUAUAAACAGCAGGAACCUGUCACUGAAUCCAGUCUCCUUCAGAACUCCGGCUGUGGUCACUGGCUCACCUUCCAAAUACUGGGUUUCUAUCAACAACACUUUUUGGAUACCAUAUCUUUAGAACUAAGGCACAACAUCUGCACUGCACUGGUGUGAAACUGCACUCACUGAACAUCUUCCAAGGGAAUCAUAGCAAAGGAACUGAAAAUUAGGUCUGAUUCACAUAUGCAUAUUUAUUAUGUGCUUAUUGUAGCAUUAGGUGCUAACUUGAUGUGUGAAUAAGCCAUCCUAGAUUAAACAGCACAGAAAUAACUCUGGUAUCACCAUUGCUGCCAUGCUUUUCAAUGGAGUUAAUUUGCACAUUCAGUUGCAAAGCCUUAAAUGUUAUCUAAUAAAGUGUUGCAUAAGCA